rnacentral:tRNA from 1 species
GCCCUGGUAUGCCAACAGGUAGAGCACAUCGCCUCAAAAGCGAUGCCAGUGUGGGUUCGAAUCCCACCCAGGGUA